rnacentral:lncRNA from 1 species
UUUGGUUUAGGUAGGCUAUGAAAUUUGAACAAAGGUUUUUGGUUCAGAGUACAUGAAAUCAUUCUCUCACUACGUUUCUUUUCUAUUAUUCCUGUAGGGUUAUGCAAUCCUCUUUCCCUUUUAUCUAUAGCGAAUGUAGCAUCUUUCAAAAGCUGUUCUUUUAUUGUUUUUCGCUUUUCUCUUUCUUUCUUUUCAUGUUGUUGUUUUUUUUUUCUUUUUUCUCUUUUCUUUUUUUUUUCUCUUUUUUUUUCUUUUUCUUUCU